rnacentral:misc_RNA from 1 species
GCGAGACCUUUUAGCGGAAGAACAAGCCGUGGGAGAAGAAGAUCCAAAGAUCUCUUCAAACCCCACCCGCUUUCCACAGACUCCAGCCGACAUGGGUUGGAGCUUGUUAAACCCAGAAAAAUUGAGGGAUCAAAAACCCUAGAAACGAAAUUCCCAAAUACGAAAUCAGAAAACAAGGAAUUGUAGGGAUCGAAAGCAGAGAUGGUG